GGAUUGCUUAUGACUCCCCAAUAUAAAUUCCUUGGAAGUCUGAACAAAAUGAAUGAAAACUCUAUCCCGUCAUCUUCACUGAACUGAGGUCC
rnacentral:snoRNA from 1 species